UCCCUGGUGGUCCAGUAGUUAGGACUCUGCACUUUCACUAUGAAGAGCCCAGGUUCAAUCCCUGGUCAGGGAG